rnacentral:rRNA from 1 species
UGACCCGAAAGAUGGUGAACUAUGCCCGAACAGGGUGAAGCCAGGGGAAACCCUGGUGGAAGCCCGAAGCGAUUCUGACGUGCAAAUCGAUCGUCUGAUUUGGGUAUAGGGGCGAAAGACUAAUCGAACCAUCUAGUAGCUGGUUCCCUCCGAAGUUUCCCUCAGGAUAGCUGGAACCCGCCUGUGCAGUUUUAUCAGGUAAAGCGAAUGAUUAGAGGUCUUGGGGUUGAAACAACCUCAACCUAUUCUCAAACUUUAAAUAGGUAAGACGUCCGACUUGCUUGAGUGAAGCCGGACCUCGAAUGCAGGGUUCCUAGUGGGCCAUUUUUGGUAAGCAGAACUGGCGAUGCGGGAUGAACCGAAAGCGGGGUUAAGGUGCCAAAGUCGACGCUCAUCAGACCCCACAAAAGGUGUUGGUUGAUCCAGACAGCAGGACGGUGGCCAUAAAAGUCGGAACCCGCUAAGGAGUGUGUAACAACUCACCUGCCGAAUCAACCAGCCCUGAAAAUGGAUGGCGCUCAAGCGUCGCACCCACACCCCGCCGUCGGGCCGAGCUAGCUGGUCCGAAGUGUAAG